UACGGAGGGUGCAAACGUUGCUCGGAAUUACUGGGCGUAAAGCGCGUGUAGGCGGCUAAGUAAGUCUGGCGUGAAAGCCCUGGGCUUAACCCAGGAAGUGCACCUGAUACUGCUUAGCUUGAGUACGGGAGAGGGUAGUGGAAUUUCCGGUGUAGAGGUGAAAUUCGUAGAUAUCGGGAGGAACACCAGUGGCGAAGGCGGCUACCUGGACCGAUACUGACGCUGAGACGCGAAAGCGUGGGGAGCAAACAGG
rnacentral:rRNA from 1 species